UACGGGGGGAGCAAGCGUUGUUCGGAUUUACUGGGCGUAAAGGGCGCGUAGGCGGCGUGACAAGUCACUUGUGAAAUCUCCGGGCUUAACUCGGAACGGUCAAGUGAUACUGUCGUGCUAGAGUACAGAAGGGGCAACUGGAAUUCUCGGUGUAGCGGUGAAAUGCGUAGAUAUCGAGAGGAAUACCAGUGGCGAAGGCGGCUGCCUGGCCUGUUCUUGACGCUGAGGCGCGAAAGCUGAGGGAGCAAACGGG
rnacentral:rRNA from 1 species